rnacentral:rRNA from 1 species
AAUCAACGCUGGCGGCGUGCCUCAGACAUGCAAGUCGAACGAUUAAAGCUCUCUUCGGAGAGUGCAUAGAGUGGCGCACGGGUGAGUAACACGUAAGUAAUCUACCUUCGAGUGGGGAAUAACGUCCGGAAACGGGCGCUAAUACCGCAUAAUGCAGCGGCAUCGCAAGAUGACAGUUGUUAAAGGAGCAAUCCGCUUGAAGAGGAGCUUGCGGCAGAUUAGCUAGUUGGUAGGGUAAUGGCCUACCAAGGCUACGAUCUGUAACCGGUCUUAGAGGACGGUCGGUCACACUGACACUGAAUAACGGGUCAGACUCCUACGGGAGGCAGCAGUCGGGAAUUUUGGGCAAUGGGGGAAACCCUGACCCAGCAACGCCGCGUGAAGGAUGAAGUAUUUCGGUAUGUAAACUUCGAAAGAAUAGGAAGAAUUAAUGACGGUACUAUUUAUAAGGUCCGGCUAACUAACGUGCCAGCAGACCGCGGUAAUGUAUCGUACG